rnacentral:rRNA from 1 species
GACGAACGCUGGCGGCGUGCUUAACACAUGCGAGUCGAACGGAAAGGCCCUGCUUUUGUGGGGUGCUCGAGUGGCGAACGGGUGAGUAACACGUGAGUAACCUGCACUUGACUUUGGGAUAACUUCAGGAAACUGGGGCUAAUACCGGAUAGGAGCUCCUGCUGCAUGGUGGGGGUUGGUAAGUUUCGGCGGUUGGGGAUGGACUCGCGGCUUAUCAGCUUGUUGGUGGGGUAGUGGCUUACCAAGGCUUUGACGGGUAGCCGGCCUGAGAGGGUGACCGGCCACAUUGGGACUGAGAGACGGCCCAGACUCCUACGGGAGGCAGCAGUGGGGAAUAUUGCACAAUGGGCGGAAGCCUGAUGCAGCAACGCCGCGUGCGGGAUGACGUCCUUCGGGUUGUAAACCGCUUUCGCCUGUGACGAAGCGUUAGUGACGGUAAUUGAUAAAGAAGCACCGGCUAACUACGUG